AGACUUUGAUUCUGGCUCAGGAUGAACGCUGGCGGCGUGCCUAAUACAUGCAAGUCGAACGAAUCUUCUUCGGAAGAUGAGUGGCGAACGGGUGAGUAAUACAUAGGUAACCUGCCCCUGUGCGGGGGAUAACAGGAGGAAACUCCUGCUAAUACCGCAUAGCCAUGAGCACCGCAUGGAGCUCAUGCCAAAUAUCCUUUCGGGGAUAGCGCAGGGAUGGACCUAUGGCGCAUUAGCUGGUUGGCGGGGCAACGGCCCACCAAGGCAACGAUGCGUAGCCGGCCUGAGAGGGCGGACGGCCACAUUGGGACUGAGACACGGCCCAGACUCCUACGGGAGGCAGCAGUAGGGAAUUUUCGGCAAUGGGGGAAACCCUGACCGAGCAACGCCGCGUGAGCGAAGAAGGCCUUCGGGUCGUAAAGCUCUGUUGUAAAGGAAGAACGGCGCAUACAGGAAAUGGUAUGCGAGUGACGGUACCUUACCAGAAAGCCACGGCUAACUACGUGCCAGCAGCCGCGGUAAUACGUAGGUGGCGAGCGUUAUCCGGAAUCAUUGGGCGUAAAGAGGGAGCAGGCGGCCGCAAGGGUCUGUGGUGAAAGACCGAAGCUAAACUUCGGUAAGCCAUGGAAACCGGGCGGCUAGAGCGCGGAAGAGGAUCGUGGAAUUCCAUGUGUAGCGGUGAGAUGCGUAGAUAUAUGGAGGAACACCAGUGGCGAAGGCGACGGUCUGGGCCGCAACUGACGCUCAUUCCCGAAAGCGUGGGGAGCAAAUAGGAUUAGAUACCCUAGUAGUCCACGCCGUAAACGAUGGUCACUAAGUGUCGGGGGUCAAACCCCGGUGCUGCAGUCAACGCAAUAAGUGACCCGCCUGAGCAGUACGUUCGCAAGAAUGCAACUCAAAGGAAUUGA
rnacentral:rRNA from 1 species